AAAAUCGAUAUCGGUAGACGCUACGGACUUAAAUCCGUUGGCUUUAAAGACCGUGAGGGUUCAAUUCCCUCUACCCCCA
rnacentral:tRNA from 1 species